ACGGGAGGCAGCAGUGGGGAAUAUUGCACAAUGGGGGAAACCCUGAUGCAGCGACGCCGCGUGAGUGAAGAAGUAUUUCGGUAUGUAAAGCUCUAUCAGCAGGAAAGAAAAUGACGGUACCUGACUAAGAAGCCCCGGCUAAUACGUGCCAGCAGCCGCGGUAAUACGUAUGGUGCAAGCGUUAUCCGGAUUUACUGGGUGUAAAGGGAGCGUAGACGGCAAGGUAAGUCUGAAGUGAAAUGCCGGGGCUCAACCCCGGAACUGCUUUGGAAACUAUCUCGCUCGAGUACCGGAGGGGUAAGCGGAAUUCCUAGUGUAGCGGUGAAAUGCGUAGAUAUUAGGAGGAACACCAGUGGCGAAGGCGGCUUACUGGACGGUAACUGACGUUGAGGCUCGAAAGCGUGGGGAGCAAACAGGAUUAGAUACCCUGGUA
rnacentral:rRNA from 1 species